rnacentral:rRNA from 1 species
GACGAACGCUGGCGGCGCGCUUAACACAUGCCAGUCGAACGGAAAGGCCUGCUUUCCCUUGUGGAUUGCGGGUACUCGAGUGGCGAACGGGUGAGUAACACGUGAGUGAUCUGCCCCCAACUUGGGUAUAAGCCUGGGAAACUGGGUCUAAUUCCCGAUAGGACUGCAGGGUGGUGCCUGUGGUGGAAAACGAUUUUCUAGUGGUUGGGGAUGAGCUCGCGGCCUAUCAGCUUGUUGGUGGGGUAAUGGCCUACCAAGGCGGCGACGGGUAGCCGGCCUGAGGGGGUGGACGGGCACAUUGGGACUGAGAUACGGCCCAGACUCCUACGGGAGGCAGCAGUGGGGAGUAUGGCACAAGGGGCGGAAGCCUGAUGCAGCGACGCCGCGUGGGGGAUGACGGCCUUCGGGCUGUAAACUCCUUUCGACCGCGAGGAAGCCACCUGGUUGGAAGGGUGGUGACGGUAGUGGUAGAAGAAGCACCGGCUAACUACGUG